AGUCAGUGGGCUGGGGAAGGCAGAUCCAACCUCAAUCUGGUGCGCCAUCUAAUAAGCUGCCAAUGAAUAUAAAGCAGGCAGAAAAACAUAAGAAGGUGAGACUGGCCUAGCCUCCCAGCCUGCAUCUUUCUCCCAUGCUGAAUGCUUCCUGUCCUCGAACAUCAGACUCCAAGUUCUUUAGUUUUGAGACUCGGACUGGCUUCCUUGCUCCUCAAGCUUGCAGACAGCCUAUUGUGGGACCUUGUGAUCAUGGUCUUAACUCUGUCACCCAGGCUGGAGUGCAGUGGUGUGACCACAGCCACUGCAGGCUCAACCUCUGGGACUCAGGUGAUCCUCCCAUCUCAGCCUCCCAAGUAGCUGGGACUACAGGUUGCUUCUUCCAGAUCCCUUUUGAUCUACUUUCAGCUAUGGAUUCAUGAGAAUCAAGACUAAGCAGCCUGAAUUGAAGGAGUAACAGUAUCACCUAACAAUGAUUUUGCUGCCAUAGUAGCUGUUUGUAUACUGGCCAUAUGCCUAGGUAAAAUGAGGCCAGAUCACUCUCAAGAGUUUUCUAUCAGAGUUGGUGGUGAACUACUGCUCACGGAUAAUGACGAGAAACCCCAGCUGAGGAGGCAAAUAUACUCAAGGAAAGUAAUAGUUUCCAAAUGCCUGGCAGUGCCAGGAAGGGGCCAUGUCCAUGGACCACUAUGUAAGGAUAUCUCAGUCUCUAGUCCAGCGUGGUUUAUGGUGCCAAAUAAGUGCCAGGUGAACUCACUACAUCUGACAAAAUCUCAAGGAACCAAGUUUACCAGAUAAUAUUUAUGAUUAUGUGAAAAAGACUGAGGAAAUCACUCAAGUGAUCCAUCAUACAGCACCUCCAGUUCCAAAGAAUACUGACUUACUUCAGCUGUACUGGUCUGGAGCUGCACAUUCUUUUCAGACAACUCUUGUUCCAGUGACUCUUCUCCUGUAACAGAGCCUCCUUCUUAGAAACUAUGGCCUCCCGUUUC
rnacentral:lncRNA from 10 species